rnacentral:rRNA from 1 species
AUGCCACGAAAGUGGUAUUGUCCACAAUUCUCUGACGUGAGAUCAAUACAAUGGCUGCUUGUCUAUGGGCUAUGGCAACCAAAUCCUAAGAGAAAAAUGCCACCCUCAGACAAGGAAGGGCUAAGAGAAGAAGAAAAUGAGAAACGUUCUUAUUUCAGUCACCAACUGUGGACUGUGUGGCUACAUUGGAGACCGUGGCCCCAAAACCAUUUGAAUGGCUUUUUCAAAGCUUCAAGCCUUUUGGAACCAUGCUGCUGGACCCAAAACAAGUUGGCCUACAAGAACAGAGAUGCCUUCGGGAAACCGUGCGAACUGUUACAGUAUGAUGAAGGGGUCGAUGUAUCUCCAGAGGCAACACAGUCUGAAGAAAGGAAAAUUAGAUAG